rnacentral:rRNA from 1 species
CAGCUUGUUGGUGAGGUAAUGGCUCACCAAGGCGACGACGGGUAGCCGGCCUGAGAGGGCGAUCGGCCACACUGGGACUGAGACACGGCCCAGACUCCUACGGGAGGCAGCAGUGGGGAAUAUUGCACAAUGGGCGAAAGCCUGAUGCAGCGACGCCGCGUGAGGGAUGAAGGCCUUCGGGUUGUAAACCUCUUUCAGCAGGGAAGAAGCCGCUGGGUUUUCUUGGUGGUGACGGUACCUGCAGAAGAAGCACCGGCUAACUACGUGCCAGCAGCCGCGGUAAUACGUAGGGUGCAAGCGUUGUCCGGAAUUAUUGGGCGUAAAGAGCUUGUAGGCGGUUUGUCGCGUCUGCUGUGAAAUUUCGGGGCUCAACCCCGAACUUGCAGUGGGUACGGGCAGACUAGAGUGUGGUAGGGGAGACUGGAAUUCCUGGUGUAGCGGUGAAAUGCGCAGAUAUCAGGAGGAACACCGAUGGCGAAGGCAGGUCUCUGGGCCACUACUGACGCUGAGAAGCGAAAGCAUGGGGAGCGAACAGGAUUAGAUACCCUGGUAGUCCACGCCGUAAACGUUGGGCGCUAGGUGUGGGGAACCUUCCACGUUCUCCGUGCCGCAGCUAACGCAUUAAGCG